ensembl:misc_RNA Metazoa_SRP Metazoan signal recognition particle RNA
GCUGGGCAUUGUGGCGCGUGCCUGUAAUCCCAGCUACUCAGGAGGCUGAGGCAGGAGAAUCGCUUGAACCAGGGGAGUUGGAGGUUGCAGUGAGCCGAGAUCAUGCCACUGCACUCCAGCCUGGUGACAGAGCGAGACUCUGUCUCCA